rnacentral:misc_RNA from 1 species
AAGUCGUAACAAGGUUUCCGUAGGUGAACCUGCGGAAGGAUCAUUACCCCCCCCGUGAACAUUCAAUCCUGCUCUUGUAACCCGCGUAGUUCGCAAUCUCUGGUAAAUCAUAGCCCGGAAAGUAGUUUUGAUUCAGAGACCUCUGGCUACGUGAGAACAUUGGAACAGUUACAAUCGAGCGGUAGUUUCAUAGGCAUUGUUUCCCCAAGCAGUCAGUGUCUGAAAGUGUCACUGAUUGUGCAAGGAUAGCGCUUCAACGAUUCCUGUAGACCGUACACUCGGGCAGGAGCUAUGCCAAAGGGUCCCCAUGCCCCCUUAUAACCCCACAGUUUAAUGUGAAGCUCAAUGUAAUACAUUGGGUAAAAAAACCGAACAACUGUUAACAAUGGAUAUCUUGGUUCUC